rnacentral:tRNA from 1 species
GCCACGGUGGCACAAUCUGGUACUGCGCAAUCUUUACUAAAGCUUGUUUCCGAAAGGAUAUCCCGGUUCAAAUCCGGGCCGUGGCG